CUUCACAUAGCUUCUGUUCUCUCCGCAGUCUGUAUAUAUAUAGAUUUUUUAUUUUUAUUUUUUUCCCAAUCGGUUUGGUAACUGAAUUUGCAUUCGGUAAUCUAAUUAAACACAACUGGAAGACGAAGAAAAGGGUGGGGAGGCAUAGAUAGAUAAUGAACUUGUCCUCUGCUCUUAUUCUUAUUGUGCCUCCCCUCAGAUCUUAGUUUUCUCCCAGAUUUGGCAUCCUGGUCGUCUUGAAUCGAUAAAAUGCAAUCGGAUAAUGGCAAGUUAUUUAUUGGGGGGAUAUCAUGGGACACAAAUGAAGAGCGACUUAGGGAGUACUUCAGCUCCUAUGGGGAGGUUGUGGAAGCAGUGAUAAUGAAGGAUCGGACAACUGGUAGAGCUCGUGGAUUUGGUUUUGUAGUUUUUGCUGACCCAGCUGUUGCAGAUAGAGUCAUAAAAGAGAAGCACAACAUUGAUGGAAGGAUGGUUGAGGCAAAGAAGGCUGUUCCUAGAGAUGACCAGAACAUACUGAACAGAAACAGUAGUAGCAUCCAUGGUUCUCCUGGUCCAGGCCGCACAAGAAAGAUAUUUGUAGGAGGUUUAGCAUCAACAGUCACAGAGAGUGAUUUCAAGAAGUACUUCGAUCAAUUUGGGACAAUAACGGAUGUUGUAGUGAUGUAUGAUCACAACACUCAGAGGCCAAGAGGCUUUGGAUUUAUCACUUAUGAUUCUGAAGAAGCUGUUGAAAAGGUCUUGCUUAAGACUUUUCAUGAACUGAAUGGUAAAAUGGUUGAGGUCAAGCGGGCGGUUCCUAAGGAGUUAUCACCAGGACCAAACCGCAGCCCACUUAGUGGAUAUAAUUAUGGUAUGGGUAGGGUCAGUAGUUUCCUAAAUGGCUUCACUCAGGGGUAUACUCCAGGUGCUGUUGGAGGCUACGGACUGAGGAUGGAUAGUAGAUUCAGUCCUGUUGCAAGUGGUCGAAGUGGAUUUGCUCCGUUUGGAUCUGGUUAUGGAAUGAGUAUGAAUUUUGAGCCUGGCUUGAACCCUGGAUUUGGAGGGAAUGCAAACUUCAAUAGCAAUCUUAGCUAUGCUCGGGGAUUAAAUCCUUACUAUGUUGGCAGCUCAAAUAGGUUUGGGAGUCCUAUUGGGUAUGAUGGUGGCAAUGGAGGAAACAAUUCUUUCUUCAGCUCUGUGACUCGAAACUUGUGGGGGGCUGGUGGUCUUAAUUAUGGAACGGGCUCUGCAAAUUCCAAUAAUGCGUACAUGGGAUCAGGAACUGGUAAUGCUGGAGGAAACUCAUAUGGGACUGGAGUGAAUUGGGGUUCAUCAGGAGUUUCCAGUCAAGCUGGUUUGAACAAUAUGUCUCAGAGUAGUGGUAAUCUUCGCUACGGAGGUGCUGACAGUAAUUAUGGUUUGGGGGGUGGAGGGUAUGGCGGAAGCGGUGGUGGCAGUAUUGCCCCAACAUCAUCAUACUCCUCAUCAAAUGGUGUUUUUGAUGGGGCCUUUACUGAUUUCUACAAUAGCAGUUCAGUUUAUGGGGAUCCCACUUGGCGAUCUUCAAAUUCUGAGCGAGAUGGGUCUGUUCCCUUUGGUUAUGGUCUCGGCAGCGCAGCUUCAGAUGUUUCUGCCAAAAGCUCUCCUGGUUAUGUUGGUGGUUACACUGUUAAUAAGAGACAGUCAAAUAGAGGUUUGUGACUUGGACGAGAGAGAGAAGGGGAGGGAAGGGAGACGAAGAGGGAGAAUUGAGAGGGAAUUAAGUGAGAAGACGGAGAAAGUUGAGAGAAACUGAGGAACAGAGACUGGAAUUGCUACAUAGGAAGAUCAUUUUGAAGACACGUACGAAACUGUAGGUGAAGAAGAAACAGUGAAGCAGGUGAAUUCUGAAGUAUACGGAUCACUGGUAUUAGUUUGUUUCGUUAAAGAUACAAGAUGUUUGGUUAUGUAGGCUAACAGGAGUGCCUAUUUUGAGGAUCAGAGAUAUAGGGAUAGAAGUUACAAAGGGAAUGUCAAGGCUUGAGUUUUGAGUUUCUGUUAGAUUUUUCAGUUUUUGGGAUUUGAGUGAGAUGUAAAAUCAGAUUGCGGGAUAUAGUGGAAGUGUAUCAUGCAUUCACAUGUGAGGCAGCAAUAUAAGAAUGAUCCACAGCAUCUCUUCCUUUUUCUUUCUUUCUUUUUGUUUUGUUUCCCCCUUUCGUUGGUUAGAUUUUCAACUGUAAUGUCUCGCAAAGUUGUGGGUUCUUCUGAUCAGGAAUUGGUUGUUUCUUACUCCGCAUCAUUUUUGUUUUGGUUUUUUGUCAGCAGAUUGUACCAAGGUUUAUGUUGAGUACUAGUGUGAAAACCUUAAAGGGAUACCAGCUGGGGUCCCCAUGAAUAAGUUACAAAUAUAUUCUUAUUCUUUUUGUGAAGGGGAAUAUUUUAUGCCCCAAGUA